GAUGAAGAACGUAGCGAAAUGCGAUAAGUAAUGUGAAUUGCAGAAUUCAGUGAAUCAUCGAAUCUUUGAACGCACAUUGCGCCCGCCAGCAUUCUGGCGGGCAUGCCUGUUCGAGCGUCAUUUCAACCCUCGAGCCCCCCCGGGGGCCUCGGUGUUGGGGGACGGCACACCAGCCGCCCCCGAAAUGCAGUGGCGACCCCGCCGCAGCCUCCCCUGCGUAGUAGCACACACCUCGCACCGGAGCGCGGAGGCGGUCACGCCGUAAAACGCCCAACUUUCUUAGAGUUGACCUCGGAUCAGGUAGGAAUACCCGCUGAACUUAAGCAUAUCAAUAAGCGGCGGA
rnacentral:misc_RNA from 1 species